rnacentral:rRNA from 1 species
UACGAAGGGGGCUAGCGUUGCUCGGAAUCACUGGGCGUAAAGGGUGCGUAGGCGGGUCUUUAAGUCAGGGGUGAAAUCCUGGAGCUCAACUCCAGAACUGCCUUUGAUACUGAGAGCUUGAGUCCGGGAGAGGUGAGUGGAACUGCGAGUGUAGAGGUGAAAUUCGUAGAUAUUCGCAAGAACACCAGUGGCGAAAGCGGCUCACUGGCCCGGUACUGACGCUGAGGUGCGAAAGCGUGGGGAGCAAACAGG